CCUACGGGAGGCAGCAGUAAGGAAUAUUGCUCAAUGGGAGAAAUCCUGAAGCAGCAACGCCGCGUGAAGGAUGAAGGGCUUUUGCUUGUAAACUUCUGUAGUGAGGGAAAAAACCUCCAUUUUAUGGAGUAUGAUGGUACCUCAAAAGUAAGCCCCGGCUAACUACGUGCCAGCAGCCGCGGUAAUACGUAGGGGGCAAACGUUGUCCGGAUUUACUGGGUGUAAAGGGUGCUCAGGCGGUCUUGUAAGUUAGAAGUGAAAUCCUAGAGCUUAACUCUGGAACUGCUUUUAAUACUGCAGGGCUUGAAUGUGGAAGAGGAGGAUGGAAUUUCUGGUGUAGCAGUGAAAUGCGUAGAUAUCAGAAAGAACACCAGUGGCGAAGGCGGUCCUCUGGUCCACUAUUGACGCUGAAGCACGAAAGCGUGGGGAGCAAACAGGAUUAGAUACCCUGGUAGUCCACGCCUUAAACGAUGAAUACUAGACGUUGGGGUUAAACUCAGUGUCGCAGCUAACGCAUUAAGUAUUCCACCUGGGGAGUACGAUCGCAAGGUUGAAACUCAAAGGAAUUGACGG
rnacentral:rRNA from 1 species